rnacentral:misc_RNA from 1 species
UGGCUGUGAGCCACAAGAAAUCCACUAUUAAUGAAGAAAUCAAACGUAACAAUCACUAAGUAGAGACCAGGAAGCUAAAGUUUCUUACUAAAGGACAUAGACGUUUACUGUUAGGAUAACGUCCUAAAAGGUGACCCUGUAGGUGGCAGCAUGCAAAUUAGAUUCAAGAUUUUCAUCACUACUUGAGUCACUGAUCUGCCAAUGUCUGCUUAAGUUCUCCUCUACCAUCAAGUUCAAAUCCAGAAAAAUUGGAUACCGCUUUACCCGUGGUUUCGUUGCUAAGCCUUUUUCUGCUCCUUUAACAAGUACCUUUAAUACUGGUUCGACGACCCGAACGAGGUUUGGCAGGAAAAGAGAUGAUGUAUGUAGAGGUCAUAUCCCCAAAGACCAGGAAUGGUGACACCCAUGGCUAAAUAAGGGAAGGGCAAGCCCAAGCCCAGGCCCAAACACUAGCCACAAGGUAAAUUUGCCACUUU